AUUGAACGCUGGCGGCGUGCUUAACACAUGCAAGUCGAGCGGUAACAGGCGUAGCAAUACGUGCUGACGAGCGGCGAACGGGUGCGUAAUACAUGGGAAUCUGCCCUUUGGUGGGGAAUAACCCGGCGAAAGCCGGGCUAAUGCCGCAUAAGAUCUUCGGAUGAAAGAGGGGGAUCGUAAGACCUCGCGCCGACGGCUGAGCCCAUGUCGGAUUAGCUAGUUGGUGAGGUAACGGCUCACCAAGGCGACGAUCCGUAGCUGGUCUGAGAGGACGGCCAGCCACACUGGGACUGAGACACGGCCCAGACUCCUACGGGAGGCAGCAGUGGGGAAUAUUGGACAAUGGGCGAAAGCCUGAUCCAGCGACGCCGCGUGUGUGAAGAAGGCCUGCGGGUUGUAAAGCACUUUCGAUGGGAACGAAAUGUGUCGGGCUAAUACCCCGGCAAGCUGACGUUACUCAAUGAAGAAGCACCGGCUAACUCUGUGCCAGCCGCCGCCGUAAUAC
rnacentral:rRNA from 1 species